rnacentral:rRNA from 1 species
GAUGAACGCUGGCGGCGUGCCUAAUACAUGCAAGUCGAGCGAACAGACGAGGUGCUUGCUCCUCUGACGUUAGCGGCGGACGGGUGAGUAACACGUGGAUAACCUACAUAUAAGACUGGGAUAACUUCGGGAAACCGGAGCUAAUACAGGAUAAUAUAUUGAACCGUAUGGUUCAAUAGUGAAAGACGGUUUUGCUGUCACUUAUAGAUGGAUCCGCGCGGCAUUAGCUAGUUGGUAAGGUAACGGCUUACCAAGGCAACGAUGCGUAGCCGACCUGAGAGGGUGAUCGGCCACACUGGAACUGAGACACGGUCCAGACUCCUACGGGAGGCAGCAGUAGGGAAUCUUCCGCAAUGGGCGAAAGCCUGACGGAGCAACGCCGCGUGAGUGAUGAAGGUCUUCGGAUCGUAAAACUCUGUUAUUAGGGAAGAACAAAUGUGUAAGUAACUAUGCACGUCUUGACGGUACCUAAUCAGAAAGCCACGGCUAACUACGUG